rnacentral:lncRNA from 10 species
GGUGUUUCAUCCACAUUAUUGCAGGAACAGAUGAAUUUAAUUAAAAGAACACCACAGUGGGCACCUCUUCCAGGGAUGCCUCCCUCUAAGAACAUGACACUGAGAUGAUCAAGGUUCUAAAAGGGCGAUCAAAUCACUCUCCGAAAAUGAAACUGCUCAGACAGAAUGACAAUUAAAUUAAUAACAACCAAGACAAUGCCCAGAUUUCAUCUCCGCUCACAGCCCCUCCUGUGUGCUGUAUGAUCAGGUUCUUGGGGGUGGCUCCAGAUACAGCAAACAGUCAGGAUUAAUCCACAAGAGUGAGCUGUCAGCAUGAGGUUCCCCUACAGUGGAGCUUGCCAAGGUCCGUGGCUCCCAGGGCACCCGUUCCAGGGCUAACAGAUGAAGCAUGGAAAUGCUGUGUGGAGUGAGCUGAGCAGCCAUUCUCAGGAGAAAACAGACAAAUCCUCCUGCACCCUGGCAAACCAGCUUUGUGGCCUGUUUUAUGUCAUCUUUGCUGAGCUCCACCGGGUCACCCCUCCUGCUGGCUUUGUGAUAUUGACAUUUCAGGCACUGGCACAGAUACAUUGGCCUUCCUGGCUGGGAUUUCACGGACGGAGUGAGCAGUGCUGGCUUGGAGGAGCCGUGGCGGCACAGGGCCUGUGCCCUCAGCUGAUCAGUGCCUGUCCUGACCCCAAAGGGCCCUCGCAGCACUGUUUGAAAUUGCUCUUGCCAUGUUUGGAACCGAUUCCUCGGUACGUUUCAGACUCAUUGUUGUGACUUUGGUUUCAAUCCAGGGACACACCGUGGCCAAUGGAGUGUCUCAACAGCAUCUAUGAUCGCUGUUUCCCAGAGACAGCAUCUCAGAUACCGAUGCUGAAAGAGAAACAGCAGCCUGUCCCCAGGUGGCAGGAAAUAGUCCAUUUUAACGGCAAUUUCAUAAGUGGCAGAUGAUUUUUAUUGUAAUUUUCUGGUGAGCUGAUUAAGUGGAGGCAGAGUCAGUUCUGAGGCGUCAAUGUCUUUAACAACUCGGGGAGACCGAGGCCAUGCUCAGCAGGAACACUAAGUCCAUGGAAAACAGGCCCUGGGCCCGCUGAUGUGCAUAAUUCCACGUUUGCCCCCCAUGUAACCAGGAUGGUAAAUUACAGGUGUCAGAUAAUCACGCUCUGGAGUGGCUACUUGAGGAUGCGAUCGACCAAUUUAAGCUCCGUCUGACACAUGAUCAAUAGCCCGUGAUGCUGCAUGGAAUUGCAGGCACAGCGUCCAAACCUGCAGAGCAGUGGCUCCCAGCUGUGGCAACUUUGCCCCCCAGAGGACAUUUGGCAAUGUCUGGAUAUGUUUGCAAUUGUCACAACUAGGAGAGGGGGAUGCUAUUGGCAUCUGGCGAGUGAGGCCAAGGAUGCUGCUAAACCUCCCAUGAUGCACAGGAGAAGUCCCCACACAGACACAUCCUGCGCAGACUGUCCAUAAAGCUUAAAUGAGAUGCUCUGACUUAGAGCCACAGUGAACAUUCCAUUCCAUCGUCUGGGUAUCUCCAGGGAUGUACGUAGCUGGAUGUCUAGCUUUUCAUCUGGGUAUGACCGGCCUCACGCAGAAUCAAAACCAUGUGUAGGUCGAAUCUCUUAUUUGCUCUCCUGCUUCCUUUCAUUGUAAUAUUCUCCUUCUCAUUAGUAUUUUCUGUUAUUGGAGGAAUGGUAAGAAAACAUAAAAUGCUGGAGAGUUACGAUUUUGUUUCUGUCAAUAAAAAAGUAAUUUGCCAGUGACUCAUAAAAAGCAGAAAAUUAAUUAGAGAAGACAUGAGAUCUAUCAAAAAGCUGAUCAGGGUGGCUCACGCCUGUAAUCCCAGCACUUUGGGAGGCCGAGGCAGGUAGAUCACCUGAGGUCAGCAGUUCGAGACCAGCCUGACCAACAAGGUGAAAUCCUGUCUCUACUAAACACAUGAAAAAAAAGUUAGCCGGGCAUGGUGGCAGUUUCCUGUAGUCCCAGCUACUCCAGAGGCUGAGACAGGAGAAUUGCUUGAACCUGGGAGGCGGAGGUUGCAGUGAGCUGAGAUCGCGCCAGUGCACUCCAGCUUAGGUGACGGAGUGAGACUUCGUCUCAAAAACAAAACAAACAAAAAAAACUGAUCACCUCAGGAGAGCAGCAGAGAGAAGAGUCCAGAUGGGAGCUGGUCAGUUUCAGGAGAGUGCACAGAGCAGGACCUCGUGGGACUGGCCUAGAGCUCCUCAAACUAACGUCAGUUCAGCGGGUGCAACUAGCAUUUUAAAACAUUAAUCACAGAGUUGAGUAGAAAAUAUCAAAAGUAUUCUGAUGCUCUGACAUUUCCAGGCCUUGCCGACCCUGGACAGCGUGCUCUUCCCAUGCCUGCCAAUUCCUAAGAGACAGGAAACAACUCAUCUGGAGCAUGUCUUGCAAAUGAAAAACAAAUCAAGAGCCCACACGCCCCAACCACCUCUUUUAUUGGGCUCUCCCUCUCCAGGGCCAGGUACCAGACAACUAGGAACAGCCCCUAUGUCCCAGAGCCUGCUGAAGUGACUCACACUCACAACCCUGAGCCUGGUGACUGCCUAUCCAUUCAUUCCUCA